rnacentral:rRNA from 1 species
AUUGAACGCUGGCGGCAUGCCUAACACAUGCAAGUCGAACGAGUGGCGGACGGGUGAGUAAUGUCUGGGAAACUGCCCGAUGGAGGGGGAUAACUACUGGAAACUGUCGCUGAUACCGCAUACCAUCGGAUGUUCCCAGAUGGGAUUAGCUAGUAGGUGGGGUAAGGGCUCACCUAGGCGACGAUCCCGAGCUGGUCUGAGAGGAUGACCGGCCCCAACGGAACGGGUAACCGGUCCCGUUUGCACCGGGAGGCAGCAGUGGGUCAUAUGGGACAAUGGGCUCAAGCCUGAUGCAGCCAUGCCGCGUGUAUGACGAAGGCCCGCGGGUUGUAAAGUACCUUCAGCGAGGAGGCGUUACUCGCAGAAGAAGCACCGGCUAACUCCGUGCCAGCAGCCGCGGUAAUUC